GGGGAUGUGGCUCUUGGUAGAGCACUUGCCUGGCAUGUGGGAGGUCCUGGGUUCCAUCUCCAGCUCCUCCA
rnacentral:tRNA from 1 species